GGGCGUAUGGUGUAGUGGUAUCACUCAUGCUUUGCAGUCGGCUUUAUGUGUAUGCGGUCCAGGGUUCAAACCCCUGUGCGUCCA